rnacentral:rRNA from 1 species
CGCUGGCGGCGUGCCUAACACAUGCAAGUCGAACGGAAUUAAGGGGCUUGCUCUUUAAUUUAGUGGCGCACGGGUGAGUAACGCGUAGAUAAUCUGCCUGAUGAUCCGGGAUAACACUUCGAAAGAGGUGCUAAUACCGGAUAAGCCCACGGUAUCUUUGGAUUCUGCGGGAAAAGGGGGGGACCUUCGGGCCUUUUGUCAUCAGAUGAGUCUGCGUACCAUUAGCUAGUUGGUAGGGUAAUGGCCUACCAAGGCUACGAUGGUUAGCUGGUUUGAGAGAAUGAUCAGCCACACUGGAACUGAGACACGGUCCAGACUCCUACGGGAGGCAGCAGUGGGGAAUUUUGCGCAAUGGGCGAAAGCCUGACGCAGCAACGCCGCGUGAGUGAUGAAGGCUUUCGGGUCGUAAAGCUCUGUCGAGGGGAAAGAAGUGUACGGGGGCUAAUAUCCUCUGUACUUGACGGUACCCCUAAAGGAAGCACCGGCUAACUCCGUGCCAGCAGCCGCGGUAAUACGGGGGGUGCAAGCGUUGUUCGGAAUUAUUGGGCGUAAAGAGCGUGUAGGCGGCUUGUUAAGUCUGAUGUGAAAGCCCUGGGCUCAACCCAGGAAGUGCAUUGGAAACUGGCAGACUUGAAUACGGGAGAGGGUAGUGGAAUUCCUAGUGUAGGAGUGAAAUCCGUAGAUAUUAGGAGGAACACCGGUGGCGAAGGCGGCUACCUGGACCGAUAUUGACGCUGAGACGCGAAAGC